rnacentral:rRNA from 1 species
AUGUUUAGGCGUUUGUUUGUUUUCCUCCAGCUUUGCACUAAAUUAGUACUAUCCCUGAGUGAAGAUAACGUUUCCAGUAAGAGAAUUGACAAUACUGACAAUGACGUGAUAUUUCAUAGCGUUGUCAAUGUCAGCUUCGUCGUCGAAGAACCUUCCGACGCAAUUUUCCGCUGGCAUGUCCCAUUGAAUGUCAUUGCUUUUAUCAUGGCAUCCAACACUUGCAGAUGUGACUCAAAAGGGGGUUCUGAAGCUGAUGAACUUGGAUGGCCUGACAGUCUACCAUACCAACAACCAUCUCCAAGUACACAAACUUGA